UUUAUUUAAAAACAUAAGGAUGUACAACAUUGAUACAAUAAAAACAUUUCAUAUUUAUUUAAAAAUUUAUAUGACAAGUACAAAAAUACAAGAAAUCAAUUCAAUCCUAAGUCAGAAUGUGUUCAACAUCAAAGUGGUUAGUAGUUGCGAGCCGGGUUUCUUCUUGGUUGAACCUCUAGUACAAGUUGUGGUCUUGGCCUUUCAUCUUUUUCGCCUUCAUCCGUAGUUGAUUGCGAUUGGUUGCUCCUCGGUUUCCAUCGUGUAUCUUCCAGUGUUGGAAUAAGUGGUUGCAAAGAUGGUCCACUGAUAGGUGCUAAAAGUGACAUGUUUUAGUCUCAUUCUUAAUGCGUUUUAGGUUAUUAUUCGAUGUUAAUGGUGAAUUUUAUGCUCCUAAUCCUUUAAAUUCAUUUUUUUAUACUUAGG
rnacentral:lncRNA from 1 species